AUGGCUCACCUACCACACCAGCUCCUUCUCCUCCUCCUCGCCGUUCAUGUCUUCGUCGCCUCCCAUGGCUCCCUUAAUCCGCUAUCUAGCACCUACAAUGAUUCCAUGUGCUUGGAAUCGUUCAAGUGCGGUGACGUUGACAUCAAAUAUCCACUCUAUCUGUCAAACACAACUCAAGCAACCCCCGAUUACGCAUCCUACUUCUCAUGCGGCUACACCGAUUUGAAUAUCUUCUGCCAAGGCGAGGGGGAAAGUGCGAUCGCAUUCCUUCCACUCGAUCAAUACAACUACACCGUCCGGAACAUCUUCUACGACAGUCGCACCAUCAUUCUUGGGGACACUGAAGCCCUUGGCGACGUCAAGUGCCCCACAGUCAGCCACAACGUGUCAUUCGGCGACGAGUGGCUAGAAUACACCGACUCCUUGCACGAGUUCACCUUCUUCUUCGACUGCUACUCCACGGCAAGCGAUCACCCGACUCCUGAGUCUCUGCUAGAAAAGUUCCAGAUCGACUGCAAAGGGUUCAAUCCACCUGCAGGCAGUGGAGAUGGUGUUUCCUUCUUGUUUACCUCUGAGGAUGACAACGUUUAUCGAGAGUACGAAUUGGCGGAGCACUGCAGCCGGAUGGUCAUCGUGCCGGUAAAUAAAGAUGUUCUGAUGAGCAGUGGUCAGCUCGUGUUGCCGAGUGAUUACGGUGCCGUACUCAAGCAAGGAUUCGAGUUGAAAUGGCAUAUGAGCAUACCGCAGCCAUGCGACCUGUGCGAGCUAUCUGGUGGACGGUGCUCCUACAGUGAGGAGAAGAAAUUUCUUGGUUGCUUGUGCUCCGGCGGGAGGGUUGGCGUUCAGGGCUGCCACGCCAGCGGCACCACCACUGCCUAUUCAAACUCUCCAUCGAGGCAUGGAUACUCAAAGACGGGAAUAAAAAAGUAUACAAUAGCAGGCAGCUCAGGCAUACUUAUGCUAUGUCUGCUUCUCUUUGCAUUCUGGUUGGGCUACAAGAAGUACGGAUCCAAAGGGAAAUCAAAGGAGACAGCAAGGAUUGAGUCCUUCCUACAGAAGAAUGGAACGGUCCAUCCGAAAAGAUACACUUAUGCACAAGUGAAAAGAAUGACGAGAUCCUUUGCUGAAAAGCUAGGUCAAGGUGGAUUUGGUGCUGUUUACAGAGGCGACCUCUCUGAUGGUCGUCAGAUAGCAGUCAAGAUGCUAAAGGACUUCAAGACUGAUGGUGAGGAUUUCAUCAAUGAGUUAGCUAGCAUUAGUAGAACUUCUCAUGUCAACGUUGUUACUCUCUUGGGAUUUUGCUUGGAAGGAUCCAAAAGGGCACUAAUUUAUGACUACAUGCCUAAUGGUUCACUUGAAAGGUAUGAUUUCAAAGAUAGCUCUGAAGGUCGAAAUACUUUAGGUUGGGAGAAAUUAUUUGAAAUAGCAGUGGGAAUUGCUCGAGGACUCGAAUAUCUGCAUAGAGGAUGCAAUACUCGCAUUGUGCACUUUGAUAUCAAACCCCACAACAUUCUAUUGGAUCAUAACUUCUGCCCAAAGAUCUCUGAUUUCGGACUGGCCAAGCUGUGCCUCAAUAAAGAAAGUGUCAUCUCCAUUGGUGGUGCAAGAGGAACAAUAGGCUAUAUUGCCCCGGAGGUUUAUUCAAAGCAAUUUGGAGCAGUAAGUAGCAAGUCUGAUGUGUACAGCUAUGGAAUGAUGGUUCUUGAGAUGGUUGGGGCAAGGGGUAAGAAUAUCAGUCCAAAUACUGAAUCUAGCAGCCAAUAUUUCCCACAAUGGAUUUAUGAACACUUGGAUGAAUACUGUAUCAGUGCUUCUGAGAUUGAUGGAGAGAUCACCGAGGUUGUAAGGAAGAUGAUAGUGGUUGGGCUGUGGUGCAUUCAGUUAAGUUCUACAGAUCGUCCAACAAUGACUAGAGUCAUCGAGAUGCUUGAAGGGAGCACAACCGGCCUUGAAUUGCCACCAAAAAUGCUCUUGAGUUGA
rnacentral:rRNA from 1 species